AAGGGAACAGAAGGAGCUGUUACUCUUGAAGCCUGGGCUUCAAAGAUCAAAUUUUAUUUUGAGGAUUACUUCUGGGUUGGAUCAAAGGGAGGAGCAAAGGUGGAACCAAACCCUCAUCUAGGUAUCU